UUCAUGGAGAGUUUGAUCCUGGCUCAGGACGAACGCUGGCGGCGUGCCUAAUACAUGCAAGUCGAGCGGACAGAUGGGAGCUUGCUCCCUGAUGUUAGCGAGUGGUUGCAAUGGUUGCGAGGAACUUAUCCACACACUAUACAAACUGUUGAAGAAAUAUUGUCCACAAUGGUUAGUUUUGUGAAAAUGUUGUCGAUAAUGAUUGUGGAUAGAAAA
rnacentral:rRNA from 1 species